rnacentral:rRNA from 1 species
UACCUGGUUGAUCCUGCCAGUUAGUCAUAUGCUUGUCUCAAAGAUUAAGCCAUGCAUGUCUAAGUAUAAGCUUUUAUACGGUGAAACUGCGAAUGGCUCAUUAAAACAGUUAUCGUCUCCUUGACAGUCAUCCAGUUUUGGAUACCUAUGGUAAUUCUAGAGCUAAUACAUAUGAACAGACCCAACUUCUUGGAAGGGUUGUGCUUAUUAGAUACUGAACCAACCCAGGCUUGCCUGGUUUUGAGUUGACUCAUAGUACCCAGCGAAUCGCGCGGUUUUGCCGGCGAUGUGUCAUCCGAGUUUCUGACCUAUCAGCUUCCGACGGGUAGGGUAUUGGCCUACCGUUGCUUUGACGGGUAACGGAGAAUUAGGGUUCGAUUCCGGAGAGGGAGCCUGAGAAACGGCUACCACAUCUAAGGAAGGCAGCAGGCGCGCAAACUACCCAAUCCUGACACAGGGAGGUAGUGACAAGAAAUACCAAUACGAGGCAAUUUCGUCUAGUAAUUGGAAUGAGUGCGAUUCACAACGCUGCACGAGUAUCAAAUUGGAGGGCAAGUCUGGUGCCAGCAGCCGCGGGUAAUUCCAGCUCCAAUAGCGUAUAUUAAAGUUGUUGCGGGUUAAAAAGCUCGUAGUUGGAUUUCUGUCGGGGAGUGGCGCUCCGCCCCCUUGUGGUGAGUAGUCGUCAUGCCACCGGCAUCUUUCUUGGGGAGCGUGUCUUGCACUUCACUGUGGUGGCGCGCAAGCCAGGACAUUUACUUGAGGAAAUGAGAGUGUUUCAAGCAGGGGCACGCCGUGAAUACGUUAGGAUGGAAUAAUAGCAUCGGACCUCGCUCCAAAGCUGUUGGUUUCUUGGGUCGAGGUAAAGGUGAAUAGGGAUUGUUGGGGGCAUUCGUAUUUAACUGUCAGAGGUGAAAUUCUUGGAUUUGUUGAAGACGGACUACUGCGAAAGCAUUUGCCAAAGAUGUUCUCAUUGAUCAAGAACGAAAGUUAGGUGGUCGAAACGAUCAGAUACCGGCCUAGUCUUAACCAUAUACUAUGCCGACUGGGGAUAGGGGUCGUUAAAUUGGUGACGCCUUCUGCAUCUUGAGAGAAAUCAAAGUACUUUGGAUUCCGGAGGGAGUAUGGUCGCAAGGCUGAACUUAAAAGGAAUUGACGGAAGGGCACCACCAGGAGUGGAGCCUGCGGCUUAAAUUUGACUCAACACGGGGAAACUUACCAGGUCCAGACAUAGUGAGGAUUGACAGACUGAUAGCUCUUUCGAGAUUCUAUGGGUGGUGGUGCAUGGCCGUUCUUAGUUGGUGGAGUGAUUUGUCUGGUUAAUUCCGUUAACGAUCGAGACCUUAACCUGCUAAAUAGGCUCGGGGGGUGGGUGGGGUUCCAGGAGGCCUUCUUAGAGGGACGUCGCGUGUCUAACGCUAGGAAGUGUGAGGCAAUAACAGGUCUGUGAUGCCCUUAGAUGUUCUGGGCUGCACGCGCGCUACACUGAUGCGUUCAACGAGUGUUUCUAUCCUGCUCCGGAAGGAACGGGCAACCUUGUGAAAACGCAUCGUGAUGGGGAUAGAUUAUUGCAAUUGUUAAUCUUCAACGAGGAAUUCCUAGUAAGCGCGAGUCAUCAACUCGUGCUGAUUACGUCCCUGCCCUUUGUACACACCGCCCGUCGCUCCUACCGAUUGAGUGAUCCGGUGAAUAAUUCGGACUACAGGUCGCGCAGUUUCUGUGCUUCGCUGCAGGAAGUUUAGUAAACCUUAUCACUUAGAGGAAGGAGAAGUCGUAACAAGGUUUCCGUAGGUGAAACCUGCAGAAGGAUC